ensembl:lncRNA
GCCAGGCAUGAUGCCACAUGCCUGUAGUCCAGCACUCAGGAGGCUGAGGCAGGAGGAUCACUCCAACUUCGAGGCCACCCCCGGCUACAUAGAAUCAAAAUACAAAUCCAAUGAAUACUUAAGAGCUGUAUCCAGAACUAAAACAUACCGUGGCUGUCAGAAAGUCAAGAGGAAGAAAUCAUGAAAGUCAGGGGAGCACCUCGUUCAAAGUAUCUGACUGGUCUUAAAAUCAUCUCAUGAAGAUGAGGAAUCAGCCAAGUCAACUAGUGAUGAACUCAUCCAUGGAGUUCUCAAAAGUUGCACAGAAGCUCUGGCAAUAAAAAGGCCACAGGAGAGCUUUCCUGAGAUGAAGCAGAGGCUGAGGACGUGGGAGUCUUAGCUGCUGACACACACAAGUGCUGACCCUGGAAAGUACCGCCGCUGAAUCAAAAAGCCACUUCCCAGAGAUGACAGCAGUGCUGAAGUUUGGCUUCCUGGUGCACCACUGAUUUGUCCAGAACAUUGAGGCCAACAUUUCGCCUCUGUCCUUUCAUGCCUUAGUUUCCUAGCAUGUGGGAAGGUAGUGACAACAAAGGGA